rnacentral:rRNA from 1 species
GAUGAACGCUGGCGGCGUGCCUAAUACAUGCAAGUAGAACGCUGAAGGAGGAGCUUGCUCUUUCCGGAUGAGUUGCGAACGGGUGAGUAACGCGUAGGUAACCUGCCUGGUAGCGGGGGAUAACUAUUGGAAACGAUAGCUAAUACCGCAUAACAGUAGAUAUUGCAUGAUAUUUGCUUGAAAGGGGCAAUUGCUCCACUACCAGAUGGACCUGCGUUGUAUUAGCUAGUUGGUGAGGUAACGGCUCACCAAGGCGACGAUACAUAGCCGACCUGAGAGGGUGAUCGGCCACACUGGGACUGAGACACGGCCCAGACUCCUACGGGAGGCAGCAGUAGGGAAUCUUCGGCAAUGGACGGAAGUCUGACCGAGCAACGCCGCGUGAGUGAAGAAGGUUUUCGGAUCGUAAAGCUCUGUUGUAAGAGAAGAACGAGUGUGAGAGUGGAAAGUUCACACUGUGACGGUAUCUUACCAGAAAGGGACGACUAACUACGUG